rnacentral:rRNA from 1 species
GGGGGGUCAUCAUGGCAGGUCGACGAAGCACUUGAGAUUGAAUCUUCGGAUGAGAACUCUUGUGACUGAGUGGCGGACGGGUGAGUAACGCGUGGGUAACCUACCUCAUACAGGGGGAUAACAGUUGGAAACGACCGCUAAUACCGCAUAACCCGCUAGUAUCGCAUGAUACGGACGGAAAAGAUUUAUCGGUAUGAGAUGGACCCGCGUCUGAUUAGCCAGUUGGCAGGGUAACGGCCUACCAAAGCGACGAUCAGUAGCCGGCCUGAGAGGGUGAACGGCCACAUUGGGACUGAGACACGGCCCAAACUCCUACGGGAGGCAGCAGUGGGGAAUAUUGCACAAUGGGGGAAACCCUGAUGCAGCGACGCCGCGUGAGUGAGGAAGUAUUUCGGUAUGUAAAGCUCUAUCAGCAGGGAAGAAAAUGACGGUACCUGACUAAGAAGCCCCGGCUAACUACGUGCCAGCAGCCGCGGUAAUACGUAGGGGGCAAGCGUUAUCCGGAUUUACUGGGUGUAAAGGGAGCGUAGACGGCUAAUCAAGUCAGAAGUGAAAACCCAGGGCUCAACCUUGGGAGUGCUUUUGAAACUGAGUAGCUAGAGUGCAGGAGAGGUAAGCGGAAUUCCUAGUGUAGCGGUGAAAUGCGUAGAUAUUAGGAGGAACACCAGUGGCGAAGGCGGCUUACUGGACUGUAACUGACGUUGAGGCUCGAAAGCGUGGGGAGCAAACAGGAUUAGAUACCCUGGUAGU